GCACACGGUGAGACGAACAGAUGGGUCGUAGAAUAUGUGCAAUUUAAAUUCAGGCAGGGGUGCUAAAUAAACGCCUGUUCCGUCCUACGUGCCACCUUCUGAAAGAAUUUGUGAGACGCAGCCCCACUGUGGCUGGAGACCGCAUGCGUCCUGUCCUCCCGGCCCAGAGGGAAAUGUGUAGGAAGUAUCUCUCUCCUGCUUUUGGCAGAGGCGUGUUCCAGCUCCUGUCCACGCCGCCUCGUUCUGUCGCGGUCGCUCUGGUGCCACCGAAGCCGCGGGAUCCCCUGCGUGCCCUCUAUGCUCCCUGGCUUCUCUGUCCCACCUGAGAAUGGCUCCCUACCCCGCGAUUAUGAAAAUAUUCUCCCGUUUCUGCUGCUUUGGAACUCUGGUUUCUCUGCUAAGGUCUUUCACUCUGUGGAAUUAAUUUUGUAAAUGGUACAUACGCUCAGGGACUUGGGGCUUCCGAGAGCCUCUAACCAUCUAAAAUUCCUCUGGAGUGGCCCUGAGGAGGCCUGCACGUCCCUUCAGAAAGCCCGUC
rnacentral:lncRNA from 1 species